rnacentral:sRNA from 1 species
CGCGCCUGCCCGUCAGGGCGAGUAAUCCGGUCACCUGAAGGGCGCGGUCUGACCGCGCCCUUUAUUUUUUGAAUGG